rnacentral:rRNA from 1 species
AGAGUUUGAUCCUGGCUCAGAUUGAACGCUGGCGGCAUGCCUUACACAUGCAAGUCGAGCGGCAGCGCGGGGGCAACCCUGGCGGCGAGCGGCGAACGGGUGAGUAAUGCAUCGGAACGUGUCCUCUUGUGGGGGAUAACCAGUCGAAAGACUGGCUAAUACCGCAUGAGAUCGAGAGAUGAAAGCGGGGGACCAGUAAUGGCCUCGCGCUCGCGGAGUGGCCUAUCUCCGAUUAGCUAGUUGGUGAGGUAAAGGCUUACCAAGGCGACGAUCGGUAGCUGGUCUGAGAGGAUGAUCAGCCACACUGGGACUGAGACACGGCCCAGACUCCUACGGGAGGCAGCAGUGGGGAAUUUUGGACAAUGGGGGCAACCCUGAUCCAGCCAUGCCGCGUGCGGGAAGAAGGCCUUCGGGUUGUAAACCGCUUUUAUUCGGGAAGAAGGAGUGCUGGUUAAUACCCGGCAUGACGGACGGUACUGGAUGAAUAAGNCACCGGCUAACUACGUGCCAGCAGCCGCGGGUAAUACGUAGGGUGCGAGCGUUAAUCGGAAUUACUGGGCGUAAAGCGUGCGUAGGCGGUUGGCNAAGUCAGCUGUGAAAGCCCCGGACUNNCCUGGGNAAUGGCGGUUGAAACUUANUCGACUANAAUCUGGCAGGAGGGGGGUGGGAAUUCCACNUGUANCANUGANAUGCGGUAGAAAUGUGGAGGAACNCCGAUGG